rnacentral:rRNA from 1 species
UUAGGAAUCUUCCACAAUGGGCGAAAGCCUGAUGGAGCGACACCGCGUGAAGGAUGAAGCCCUUAACUGGGUGUAAACUUCUGUUCUGAGGGACGAAAUUUUUGACGGUACCUCAGGAGAAAGCACCGGCUAAUUCUGUGCCAGCAGCCGCGGUAAGACAGAAGGUGCAAGCGUUACUCGGAAUUACUGGGCGUAAAGCGUCUGUAGGUGUCUUUCCACGUCUGGCGUUAAAUUUCGGGGCUCAACCCCGUCUAUGUGCCGGAAACGAGAGAGAUCGAGUCAGUCAAAGGUAGCUGGAAUGUCGUGUGUAGGGGUAAAAUCCGUAGAUACACGAUGGAACGCCAAAAGCGAAAGCAGGCUACUAGGACUGUACUGACACUCAGAGACGAAAGCGUGGGGAGCAAAGGGG